CUGGACAGUUCCACCCUGGGACAGAUCCUACCUGUUUCACAGUUUUGCCUGAAAUCAGCCCUAUCAUGGAGUUCUAAACUGCGUCCUGCCCCUAACGUCUAACUGCUUUCCCAUCUUGGGCAAAUCUGUCCGAGUUCUCUGCAAAGAGUACACCAGAGAAGACCAACUUUUCCUGCAUGCCUGCCUUUGAUCAGGGACUUUUGUCCCUUUGCCUAUGACCAGAGUCCACUCAGUUCCAGGGUCAGUGGCCUGUGCAUCUAUUGGCCUAGAGGUCAGAUUGGCCAGGUUAGGUUGAACAUUAUACUGAUAAGGAAAAGGUUUUCUUAGGAGAUUUUUUGCUUGCAGAAUGGAUAUCUUUGACUUUUGAAGCAAGGAGAAACAUCUGCUAGACUCUCCCAGUACUCUAUAGAAGAAUGAUUGGGUUGAGGAGAAAGAGUCCAGAGCUUUGUUUAAUGGUGAAAAGUGCUGACUAUCUCUGUUCAGUUAUUCCUCAUUCCACACAUGAUCCUUCAUUCUGCCCUUCACAGAAUACUGUUUAACUAUGGAGACAGUUUCAGUUCUUAGCAAUGGCUACCUAUCUCCAUCCCCACUGCCCCGCAUCGGACAGCUGUGCAUGUAUUCCAGGAGCAGCUUGCGCAUAGCUUGUGGAAUCAAGGAGAUGGGAAGUGCCGGGGGCCAGCGUGAGGAACUCCGCCUAUGGUGAAGGUCAUGAGGAAGGAGGCUUGGCAUACGCAAAGGCGUGAUCAAGCCUCAGGAAACCGCCUGUUCCUGAGCAUCUAACCCCAAAACCAGAGUCUGUUUUAUGCUCUCACUUACAACUCUGACUUUACGAGGGGCUCUCCCCCAUAACCGUUUCUCU
ensembl:lncRNA